rnacentral:rRNA from 1 species
GACGAACGCUGGCGGCGCGCUUAACACAUGCAAGUCGAGCGAAGCGGCGGACGGGUGAGUAACACGUGAGUAACCUGCCUUAGACAUUGGGAUAGCCUCGGGAAACCGGGAUGAAUACCAAAUGGUCUAAGAUGGACUCGCGUCCCAUUAGCUAGUUGGUGAGGUAACGGACCAACAAGGCCACGAUGGGUAGCCGGCCUGAGAUGGUGAACGGCCACAUUGGAACUGACAAACGGUCCAAGCUCUACGGGAGGCAGCAGUGGGGAAUAUUGCACAAUGAAGGGAACUCUGAUGCAGCGACGCCGCGUGAACGAAGAAGGCUUUCGAGUCGUAAAGUUCUUUUAUAUGGGAAGCGGUACCAUAAGAAAAAGCCCCAGCUAACUACGUGCCAGCAGCCGCGGUAAUAC